rnacentral:rRNA from 1 species
CCUACGGGCGACAGCAGUGGGGAAUAUUGCACAAUGGGGGAAACCCUGCUGCAGCGACGCCGCGUGAAGGAAGAAGUAUUUCGGUAUGUAAACUUCUAUCAGCAGGGAAGAAAAUGACGGUACCUGACGAAGAAGCCCCGGCUAACUACGUGCCAGCAGCCGCGGUAAUACGGAGGGGGCAAGCGUUAUCCGGAUUUACUGGGUGUAAAGGGAGCGUAGGCGGCGAUGCAAGUCAGAAGUGAAAGCACGGGGCUCAACUCCGGGACUGCUUUUGAAAAUGUGUUGCUAGAUUGCAGGAGAGGUAAGUGGAAUGCCUAGUGUAGCGGUGAAAUGCGUAGAUAUUAGGAGGAACACCAGUGGCGAAGGCGGCUUACUGGACUGUAAAUGACGCUGAGGCUCGAAAGCGUGGGGAGCAAACAGGAUUAGAUACCCCAGUAGUC